UACGUAGGGACCGAGCGUUGUCCGGAUUCAUUGGGCGUAAAGAGCUCGUAGGCGGCUGCUCAAGUCGAAUGUGAAAACUCGAGGCUCAACCUCGAGCCUGCAUUCGAUACUGGGCGGCUAGAGUCUGGUAGGGGGGAUCUGGAAUUCCUGGUGUAGCGGUGGAAUGCGCAGAUAUCAGGAGGAACACCGGUGGCGAAGGCGGGUCUCUGGGCCGUAACUGACGCUGAGGAGCGAAAGCGUGGGGAGCAAACAGG
rnacentral:rRNA from 1 species